rnacentral:lncRNA from 12 species
CUUGCCGCUUCGUCAUGCAGGGUGUUAGUUAACCUGUCAACAAAUGGACAAAAGAGAGGAAAGAAGACAGACCUUCAAAGUCUCAGCCAUUGGGUUUUCCAAAGCCCAGACUCCUUCAGAUGGGUGAUGAUAGCAAAUGGUAUCAAAGAAUGAAAACCCAACUAUGCUGGAAUGGACCUGUGCUCAUCAACCAAAUCUCAACAACGUCUAUUCGUCACUUGGCUUGCAUCAAGCCCGGCACUGUGUGAUAUGCAGAGGAGAUCAUGAAGGAAAGAGAAUUCCUGCCCUCAACGAGCUGACAGUCUAGAGGUGGAUCCAUACAGGUUAGCAAGUGACUGUGGGAGAAGGAUGAAUGCUUACCUAGCCCUGACUGCGUGCUUUGUAUGUUAGUGUUAACGUAUCCAAUUCACACAGCCCCGUAAGAGCACCAAUGCUAGUUUUGCCAUACAAAAUCCUGCCCUAAACCUAGCAGCUCACCCUAACAAUCACUUGGUUAGCCACAGCUCUGUGGUCUGCCCACUUAGACAGUGCUCAGCUGGGUCGACUCACGCAUCUGUGGUCAGCGAGCAGCGACAUCGUUAACUCACGUGUCAUGCAGUUGGAGUAGUGGGGACAGCUCAACAUCCCCAUUGUAUUGAGGGGCCCCCCUCAUCAUCCAGCAGACUGACCCGAACUUCUUCAUUUGGUGAUAUUGCAGAGUUUUUAAGACCAGCAAUGGAAAGCAGGUGACACUGUACAACACUUCCCAAGCCUCUGCUUGGUACCCAUUUGCUACCAUUGUCUUGUUGGCCAGAGUAGGUCACAAGGCCAGCCCAGAUUCAAGGAGGGAAGCAAAAGGUUGCCUUUGAUGGAGGAAAUCAUAAAGUUGUAUUAUAAAAAGGUUUUAUACAGGGAGAGGAAGAAUUUGUGGCCAAUUUCUUACCUACUCUAGGGACGUAUGAAUAAUAUCUCUGUGGGGCAUAGAGAGUUUAAGUGAUCACAGCUCAUCAAGCCAGAGGAAGGGCCAGGGUUCCAACCGGGCAGUCUGGCUCCAUAGCCAGUAGGUGUGUCCCCUACACUAUAGUACAAGUGCCACACAGGGCUGACUCAUGUGCUGGGGAAGAUUUAGGAAGAGCCCCUAACUUAAUUUUGGGUAUUAGAGAAGCUUUCACAGAAGAACCAACAUCAAAUCCAAAUCCUAAUGGGCAAGGAUGAAUUAAUCAUCUGAAAAGGAAGAAAGGACGGGAACACCCCACAUAGGCAAAGUACUAGAGAGCACUAGUUAAUUGACUGAGACAGUUAAUUGUACAUCCAGAGAAUUGCAAGUAGUUCCCUGGGCUGGAGAAUAGGGAGCCAAGUCCUGUGGCGGGAGAGGAGAACUUCGGCCGUGCUGUAAAUGUAUUAAGACCAAAGGUGUAGACUUUUAUCAGAGACAUAAGCAGCCCCUUGAAAGGUUCAGUCUAGGGAUUCAUAGGUUCAGAUUCUGCUUUCGAUUCUUUUCCAUGGCACCUAUGAGGAGUAAGGAUCAGAAUCAGGUAAUAUUUCAUGCAGGGAAAUUAUUUGCAAGGGUCCUGCAGUGACCAAACAGGAAAUUAGUACCUGAACUAAGAGAGACACAGUGGGGAUGGGGAAAAAAAAAAAAGACAUAUUGGAAAAAUGUUUAAAAGUGAAUAUAUUGACUAGUAAAUGUUGUGAUAAAGGGGUCUUGAUUACAUCCAGGUUUUGGCUUAGAUGCUGCUUGGAGAUGAUGGUACCAUGACCUGAACUGGGGAAGUCACUGAGUGAAGGCAUUUCAGGGAAAGAAAUGAUAUCUUUUGAUUUACAUGUGUUAAAUCUGAGACACCUACAGGAAGGAGUAUGUCUAAAUGAAUAUAUUCAACUAUGAGGCAGGAAUGAGCCUAGAAUUCCAGAGGGACUGGAUUGGAGGAAUAGAUAUAAGGGUCAUCUGAAUAUGGGAAAUAUUAUCCAAGGAGAAUAUGUGGAAUAAUAUGAGUAACAUUUAGCAUUUGUUAGGCAUUUGUUCUGUACUGAGAACAGGUUUAAAAUACUUUACAUUAUUUGACAAAUUUAAUUCCCACAACCAUCCUAGGAGGUAAUACUGUUUUACACCCAUUUUACAGAUAAGGAAAUUAAGACACGCAGUUCAAGGAGUUAGAGCCAGCAUUCAAGCCUGAGCAAUCUGGCCCAUGCUCUGAAGUUACACCCCUCCUGUUUGCAAAAUAAGGGAAGAUUCCAGUGCAAAACCCUGCACAAUACAAAUACCAUUAAACUGUGGUAAAUAUAACGCAAAAAUCCAAACUUGAAAUAUAGAGGUUCAUAACAAAGUAGGGUCAUGUCACUAGGAGGUAGAUGGGAAAAAUACAUGUCUCAAUCAUAAUGCACAAUCAUAUACACACAAAAGUUCAUUACUAAAAGAGAGUGAAAAUGAUAUCAACCGAUGGUCCACAAAACUGGGAAAGUCCCCUCAAAAAUCACAAGGUGCAGGCUAGGGGAGGGAGUGUAUUCUAACUCCAUCUCGCCCUGCCCCAUCGAUGGCCCCUCCUGUAGAAGAUGAUCACAUUAUCCUGCCCUAUUGCAGAACCAGAACUCAGCGCAGGAUCGGAGCCAAUUUUCAAAUGCAUUUUAUCAGAAUUCUGGCCAGCCUUGUACCAUGGAAACCAAGGGAGGAGAAUUUUCCAGGGAGACCGUGGCUACAGUAACAGGAGGUAACAGGAUGUCAAGUACACAGAGGCCUAAAAUAACUUACCCAUUGUAUUUAGGAGCAAAGAGAUUAUGAGAAACCUUCUUAAAAUGAUUAGCAGGCAACUCUGCGUAUUUAAGAUUGCUCUUUGAAUAGUAACAUUUGCAGACAACAGUUACAUAUACUUGGUAUUUCUGGAUAGUAAUAAGAGGUAUCAUUUUUGGGUGCCUUUCAUAUGCAAAAUUCUGGAAUUGACACUUUUUAUUAUUGUCUAGCACCUACCUACAAGGUAGCAGAUCUCCUUUUUUUGAUUUUAAAGAUUUUAUUUAUUUAUUCAUGAGAGACACAGAGAGAGAGGCAGAGACACAGGCAGAGGGAGAAGCAGGGUCCCUGCAGGGAACCCGACAUGGGACUCGAUCCCAGGACCCCCGGGUUAUGCCCUGAGCUGAAGGCAGGCGCUCAACUGCUGAGCCACCCAGGCGUCCCUAGCAGGUAACCUUUUGACAAGUGAGGAUACCCACAUUCAGAGCAGGGACCUGAGAUCACAAGUCUGAUCAUUGGCAGAGCCAACAUGCAGAGUCAGAAAUCACCAAAUUCACAGACCUUGGUUUUGUGUGUGUGUUUUUUAAUUCUUUAUAUUGCACAUGCAGUCUCCACUGAGUUCCUAUGACAAAAGAGGGUAGGAUGGUCAUAAAUGGUAAUCAGCUAGUUCAAGGAUCUCCUCAUAAUCAGUUGUUCCAACUUCACCUUCACCAUUUUAACUGGCAUUUGUAAACCAUAGCAGUUCAAGCAACCUCUGGCUUCACUUGUAGAGACAUUUUAAUAAAUAAUAAAAGGGUCAGAAGCCA